rnacentral:rRNA from 1 species
CCUACGGGAGGCAGCAGUGGGGAAUAUUGGACAAUGGGGGCAACCCUGAUCCAGCCAUGCCGCGUGUGUGAAGAAGGCCCUCGGGUUGUAAAGCACUUUCAGUGAGGAAGAACGCCUGGUGGUUAAUACCCAUCAGGAAAGACAUCACUCACAGAAGAAGCACCGGCUAACUCCGUGCCAGCAGCCGCGGUAAUACGGAGGGUGCGAGCGUUAAUCGGAAUUACUGGGCGUAAAGCGCGCGUAGGUGGCUUGAUAAGCCGGUUGUGAAAGCCCCGGGCUCAACCUGGGAACGGCAUCCGGAACUGUCAAGCUAGAGUGCAGGAGAGGAAGGUAGAAUUCCCGGUGUAGCGGUGAAAUGCGUAGAGAUCGGGAGGAAUACCAGUGGCGAAGGCGGACUUCUGGACUGACACUGACACUGAGGUGCGAAAGCGUGGGUAGCAAACAGGAUUAGAUACCCGGGUAGUC